rnacentral:misc_RNA from 1 species
AAUUUAGUAUGCUUGAAGCUCAGUAACUGCUACAACUGCUCCACUUUGCCUCCGCUUGGACAGUUAACAUCUCUAAAGGAACUCUCAAUCAUAGUAUUUACAAAGCUCAUGUUUGUGGGUUCUGAGUUCUAUGGAAGCUGCGGUCCUGCAAUGAAGCCAUUUAGAUCCCUAGAAAUUCUGAGGUUUGAAAGGAUGAAACAGUGGGAGGAGUGGAAAGAUGGUGAUGGAGCCUUCCCUCAACUCGAAGAGCUUUAUGUUAAAGAGUGCCCCAAACUAACAAAGGCAUUUCCCAGUCACCUUCCUUGUUUAAAAAAGCUUCAAGUUGUGGGAUGU